rnacentral:lncRNA from 1 species
ACUAUAAUAACGCUUUUUUAAAUUACUAUAAUAAUAACAAUGGUAGUAAUAUUUAUAUUAACAUUAAUGACAAUAGUAACAAUAAUACAUAUUUUAAAAUUCCAAACGAAAAAAAUGCUUCAAAUGUUAGGUACAUACAAGGAAUGGAUAUGAGAGUGCAUCAUAAUAUAAACAAUUCAAUUUUUUAUAAUAAUCAACAUAGUCAACAAAACCAGCAGAACCAGCUGAACCAACAAAAUCAGCAGAACCAACAAAAUCAGCAGAACCAACAAAAUCAGCAGAACCAACAAAACCAACAUAAUAACAUGAGCAUGUACAUGAAGAACAAUAAAGAAAUAGAAAAUCAUAUAAAUUUGUUUAAAACAAAAUAUUUUAUUUCUAACAAAAAUGAUCUAAAUGGUAUGAACUAUAUAUGUGAAAACCGUUCUAACACGAAUAGUUAUAGCGGUUGUGUGAAAAACAAGGAAUUAUAUAUGUAUCCUAUAUAUAAUAAUACUAGUACUAAUAAUGGUAGUAAUAUUACCAAUAAUAGUGGAAUUAAUAAUGUUGGUCCAAGUAACAACAAAAGUAAUACUACAAUUACUACCACCAACAAUAAUAAUAAUAAUAAUAAUAAUAUUGUUAUUGGUAAUGGAAACAAUAAGUAUUUCACACAUAGCGACAUACAAAAUUAUAUUUGCAAUAAAGUACCAACAACAAACAACAAUUACCCAUUUAAUAAUAACAUGUAUAACUUUGUAGUUAAUAAUAAUAUAAUAAAUGAUAAUCUUAAUAAUACUAAUAUGUGUAAUGAUACAAAUGGUGAUAUAUAUAAUAUGAAUAACAAUGUAAAUAUAGAUAAUAAUUAUUAUGAGAACCAAAAAGAAAUGAAAUAUAAUUUUUUAAAAUCUGUACCUUAUGGUUUAAUUAAACAUAACAUUUAUAAUAGUAAUAAUAUGAACAAAAAUAACGAAAUGAGUGUAACUCCCCUAGUAUAUAAUAAUAUAAAUACAGCUUCUACUGUCAAUACUAAUGUUAAUAAUAGUAUUAACAACGGCUACUAUAGUUAUAUUGUUGGAGAUAACAGUAACAAAAAUAGUCAUGUACAAAACAAAAAUUUUAACAAAAGAAUAGCUCAACAAACUGGCAUAAACCAAACUAGUAUUUCCCAUAAAGGUAUGAAACUAUAUGAUAAUAGUGUUUAUGGAAGUAAUAAUAC